AUUCCAGCUCCAAUAGCGUAUAUUAAAGUUGUUGCGGUUAAAAAGCUCGUAGUUGGAUUUCUGCCGAGGAUGACCGGUCCGCCCUGUGGGUGUGCAUCUGGCUCAGCCUUGGCAUCUUCCUGAAGAACGUAGCUGCACUUGACUGUGUGGUGCGGUAUUUAGGACAUUUACUUUGAGGAAAUUAGAGUGUUUCAAGCAAGCGCACGCUUUGAAUACAUUAGCAUGGAAUAAUAAGAUAGGACCUUGGUCUAUUUUGUUGGUUUGUACUCCAAGGUAAUGAUUAAUAGGGAUAGUUGGGGGUAUUCGUAUUCAAUUGUCAGAGGUGAAAUUCUUGGAUUUAUGGAAGACGAACUACUGCGAAAGCAUUUACCAAGGAUGUUUUCAUCA
rnacentral:rRNA from 1 species